CCUACGGGAGGCAGCAGUGAGGAAUAUUGGUCAAGGGGCGCAAGCCUGAACCAGCCAAGUCGCGUGAGGGAUGACGGUCCGAUGGAUUGUAAACCUCUUUUGUCGGGGAGCAAGGCCCGCCACGUGUGGCGGUAAGGAGAGUACCCGAAGAAAAAGCAUCGGCUAAAUCCGUGCCAGCAGCCACGGUAAUACGGAGGAUGCGAGCUUAAUCCGGAUUGAUUGGGUUUAAAGGGUGCGUAGGCGGAAGGUUAAGUCAGCGGUCAAAUGUCGGUGCUCAACACCGGCCUGCUGUUGAAACUGGUCUUCUUGAGUGAGCGAGAAGUAUGCGGAAUGCUUGGUGUAGCGGGGAAAUGCAUAGAUAUCACGCAGAACUCCUAUUGCGAAGGCAGCAUACCGGCGCUCAACUGACGCUGAGGCACGAAAGCGUGGGGAUCGAACAGGAUUAGAUACCCUUGUAGUC
rnacentral:rRNA from 1 species